rnacentral:misc_RNA from 1 species
GAUGAAGAACGCAGCGAAAUGCGAUACGUAAUGUGAAUUGCAGAAUUCAGUGAAUCAUCGAAUCUUUGAACGCACAUUGCGCCCGCCAGUAUUCUGGCGGGCAUGCCUGUCUGAGCGUCAUUUCAACCCUCAUGCCCCUAGGGCGUGGUGUUGGGGAUCGGCCAAAGCCCGCGAGGGACGGCCGGCCCCUAAAUCUAGUGGCGGACCCGUCGUGGCCUCCUCUGCGAAGUAGUGAUAUUCCGCAUCGGAGAGCGAUGAGCCCCUGCCGUUAAACCCCCAACUUUCCAAGGUUGACCUCAGAUCAGGUAGGAAUACCCGCUGAACUUAAGCAUAUCAAUAAGCGGAGGA